UAAGACAGAGGGUGCAAACGUUGUUCGGAAUUACUGGGCGUAAAGCGCAUGUAGGCGGCCAAGCAGGUCGGAUGUGAAAUCCCUCGGCUCAACCAAGGAAGUGCAUUCGAAACCGCAUGGCUGGAGUCCCGGAGAGGAAGGUGGAAUUCUCGGUGUAGAGGUGAAAUUCGUAGAUAUCGAGAGGAACACCGGUGGCGAAAGCGGCCUUCUGGACGAGGACUGACGCUGAGAUGCGAAAGCGUGGGGAGCAAACAGG
rnacentral:rRNA from 1 species